CUUAGAAAAAAGGUGUAAUUGUACCCUGUCUAAUAGCUUUGGUUCAAUACAAUUGGCAACAUCAGCAACUGGGCUGUCUUAGAAUUCAUGAAAGACCUUUGCUACAACCCCAAGAAAACAUGCCUUGUAUCAGGCGAUUAAAUUCUCUGCUUCAAUCAGAUUAACCACACAAAUGUUAUUGUUACCAUUGUGACUGCUACCCUUUUU